ACCCGUCCUCCGCCUUUGUCUCCGUGUUUCUCCUCCACUCCCCACGAUUCCCCCAACGAACCCCAUCGUCGCUGCCGACGCCGACGACCUCCUCUCCCCCAACCCCACCGCUGGCGCCCCCACCUCACGAGCAGCCACUGGCAUGGACAGAGCCGCUUCCUCUCUCGGCGCCCAAAGCCCUAGCUCAGGCCGCCGCGACCCACCCGCUGCGUCCCGCGUUCACGCGCGAGAUCCACGUCCUGCGUUCAUGGCCAAGCGGGCGUCCACACGCGGAUCCUCCUCCUCGUUGUGCCCUUGUGCCGGCCCCGAACCCUAGCUAGGGACCCCCUUCUCCGGGCGCGGUGUGGCGCGGGGAGGGCUCCCUCUUGCCUGCCGCCGAUGCAGACGGCCCGCCGGAGGUCCUUCUACUUGCUCCUCCGACCCUCCUGUUGUUGAUGCUGCUAGUGCAGACCGACGCCAUGGUGGCCAUGUGCAGAUGCCCUCCUACCGGCACGGUAGAUGCACCAGAUCUGCAAUGCGAACGGCGCGCGCAGGUGCUCCGUGGGCUUGCUUCUUCCCUUUCGGGACGCCGCUGCUCCGACACCAUGGACGGACAAAGCCAUGUGCUUGACGCCACCUGAUGCGUGUGUUUUGUGCUCCUAUCUGCUUGUCAAGCAGAAAUCUGCUGCUGUGAGAGGAGGACGACGAGGUGAGUGGCUGCUCCAACCCUGCUGCCCACACGAUAGAAGAUCCUCUCUCUCUCUCUCUCUCUCUCUCUCUCUCUCUCUCUCUCUCUCUCUCUCUCUCUCUCUCUCUUUUUUAUUCCACUCUCCGAUGAGAGUUUGGUGCAACCUAACUCAUAGUUGUACCCUUGGUAGAGUGAUUUGUUUGACAUGUAGUUGAUCUGAAGUAAAACCACUUAAUCAUCCUCUUCUUGUUUUUUUAAACAAUCCAGUCUUGUCAUUGUUUCCCCGUGCAUGGUAAUUUGAAGAAAGAACAACGCUAUUCCUGUCUGGAUUGUGGUCUGUUGGGGACUUGAACACUGCCCUGUUCUUCAAAAUUACAACGUUUUGCUCCUAAUGCUCAAUUAUAUUUUGUCCUAGAUCGUUAUACCACUUAGGUCGUUGAUCUGCAUAAUGUACACUUUCAUUGUAAUAUGUAAGAUACUAUGAUAUGUUUCGAAUAUGAUCGAUGGUAAACUUA